AAGAAAACCCCAAGUGGGGUCACAAAGAGUCAGACCUGAUGGAAAAACAACUGAUCAACUGAACAACAUUUGUGUAGAAAUCCUAGAUGACAGUAAACGAAGGGCUAUGGGAGAUGUGACAGACCAGUGCCUGGUCUCCUGGGGGCCCUGUCACCGCCUACUCUGAUGAUCCUGGAGUCUUUGCUGCCGCGUGCUGCUGCUACUCACUCGGCCAGGGCCAAGGGUUGUCCCCCUUUCUGGGAUGAGGCCUAGCAAUGUCUCCUAGUGCUGACUGAAUAUUGACAGGAGUGCUGGACCCCUUUGCCAGGGCUUAGCGAUGCCCUCCUAUGCCAAGGAUUGAGUGCUCUCCUUCUAGGAUAAGUCCAAGCCGCUUUCCCAGAUAGUCCCAUGGGAUCAUGCCAUCUUUUCCAGUCUUCAUCAAAAUUUACCAAAGAAUGAUGUCUCUGGACCCUGGAUUCUUCUCACCAUACUGCCAUCUACUGCUGCGGAUGAUGAGUCUGAGAUGCCUAUGGGACAGCCAUUUGGAAGUGUCCGACAAGACUGUGGGCAAUUUGAGACCAGAGCUGAGGAGAGAAACUAGAGAUGGAUGUAUAGAUCUUGAAGUUAUCUGCACAGAGAUGAUAAUUAUACCCAUAAGAACUGAUGAGACCACAGAGAUAAAGGGUUAAGAGAGAGGAGAGAAGGCUCAUUUCAGAUCUUUGGAGUACAUCCACUAUACAGGACAGGACUUGUACGGUGAUCUAGCAAAUGGGUCUGAGAAGAAAUUGUAAGAAAGUUAGGAGAGGGGCAGCUAGGUGGCACAGUAGAUAGA